GGGCCCGCACAAGCGGUGGAGUAUGUGGUUUAAUUCGAUGCAACGCGAAGAACCUUACCAGGGUUUGACAUCCUGCGAAUCUCUUGGAAACAGGAGAGUGCCUUCGGGAGCUCUGAGACAGGUGCUGCAUGGCUGUCGUCAGCUCGUGUUGUGAAAUGUUGGGUUAAGUCCCGCAACGAGCGCAACCCUUAUCCUUGUUUGCCAGCACGUAAUGGUGGGAACUCCAGGGAGACUGCCGGUGAUAAACCGGAGGAAGGUGGGGACGACGUCAAGUCAUCAUGGCCCUUACGAGUAGGGCUACACACGUGCUACAAUGGCGCAUACAGAGGGCAGCAAGCUAGCGAUAGUGAG
rnacentral:rRNA from 1 species